ACCUUCACUAUAGUUGAAUGGUCACUUGGUUUUGUGUUUGAGAAAGCUUCAAAAUCAUCGCCAGCAUCCAACCAAUAAGAAUUUCCGGUGGCGUCUUCCACUUUCUGCACUAACUCCUCGUACUCCCUCUAUAUAUUGUUACAACAACAAAGAUAUAAUUUCAAGAAAGAAAAGAACCCAAAUCUUGGCGAACAUAGAAGCUUCCUUGAGAGAGAAGUAAGUGAGAGGUGAGCAUCCAUCGUCUGAAACAUAACAUGCUAGUUUAUUCGCCGGAUAAUUCACAGCUAACAGCGAAAGCACGGUGUUCACAACAAGAAUCGGUGGCUCGCGAACCGGAUCCGCCGUGGUUACGAACAUAUCUACCGAUGGAAGCUCAUGAACCCUGAUAUAAAUAAUUAUUAGGUUAUUUCAUUAAAGCUUUGUUGUGGAAAUGUUCACUAUACGAUCAAAGGUAAAAUUAGAGCAUGGUAGGAGUUAAUUACAACCCUAGUGCUAUAUACAAAUAUAAUAAGAUUACUAGAUUUUGACGGGUUUUUCUUUCGAAAAUAGCAAUGUUAGAUAUAAAUUAAUAUCAUGGUUUUGAUGUACAUUAUUAAGUUACAAAGUUGUAUUAUAUCAGAGAAGAAAAUGAUUUAUUGUUUAAAAUUAUAUAAUUUAUCAAUUAGUUUAUUUGAGAUUUUUA